AAACUCGGGGUGCUGAAGCCGCCGUGCCGACGCUGAGAUGAUACCCAUAGAACCUGACGCGGAUAAUGCCGCCGCAGGGAUGCAGUGA
rnacentral:ncRNA from 1 species